rnacentral:rRNA from 1 species
ACCUCUUUAUAUGGGCCUGACACACUUGAUCUCAUUUGAUUUUUGGAAGCUAAGCAGGGCCUGCCCUGGCUAGUGCUUGGGUGGGAGGCAACAGGAAAUACCAGGAUCUCUAGGUA